rnacentral:rRNA from 1 species
UGGGGAAUAUUGCGCAAUGGGCGAAAGCCUGACGCAGCAACGCCGCGUGAGUGAUGAAGGCCUUCGGGUCGUAAAGCUCUGUCGGAGGGAACGAAUGCUCCUGAAGUUAACAGCCUCAGGAGGUGAUGGUACCCUCAAAGGAAGCACCGGCUAACUCUGUGCCAGCAGCCGCGGUAAGGCAGAGGGUGCAAACGUUGUUCGGAAUCACUGGGCAUAAAGCGCACGUAGGCCGUCCGCUAAGUUUCGUGUGAAAUCCCCCGGCUCAACCGGGGAACUGCACGGGAUACUGGCGGACUCGAGGAUGGUAGGGGUGAGUGGAACUCCAGGUGGAGCGGUGAAAUGCGUAGAUAUCUGGAGGAACACCGGUGGCGAAAGCGGCUCACUGGACCAUCACUGACGCUGAGGUGC